rnacentral:rRNA from 1 species
CAGGUGCGAAAGCGUGGGGAGCAACUUUAAUGGCUACCUGGUAGUCCACGCCGUAAACGAUGUCUACUAGCUGUUCGUGGUCUUGUACUGUGAGUAGCGCAGCUAACGCACUAAGUAGACCGCCUGGGGAGUACGGUCGCAAGAUUAAAACUCAAAUGAAUUGACGGGGGCCCGCACAAGCGGUGGAGCAUGUGGUUUAAUUCGACGCAACGCGAAGAACCUUACCUACUCUUGACAUCUAGCGAAGAUUGCAGAGAUGCAGUUGUGCCUUCGGGAACGCUAAGACAGGUGCUGCAUGGCUGUCGUCAGCUCGUGUUGUGAAAUGUUGGGUUAAGUCCCGCAACGAGCGCAACCCUUAUCCUUAGUUGCCAGCACGUAAUGGUGGGAACUCUAGGGAGACUGCCGGUGAUAAACCGGAGGAAGGUGGGGACGACGUCAAGUCAUCAUGGCCCUUACGAGUAGGGCUACACACGUGCUACAAUGGUACGUACAGAGGGAGGCAAGCUGGCGACAGUGAGCGGAUCUCUUAAAGCGUAUCGUAGUCCGGAUCGCAGUCUGCAACUCGACUGCGUGAAGUCGGAAUCGCUAGUAAUCGCAAAUCAGAAUGUUGCGGUGAAUACGUUCCCGGGCCUUGUACACACCGCCCGUCACACCAUGGGAGUGGGUUGCAAAAGAAGUAGGUAGCUUAACCUUCGGGAGGGCGCUUACCACUUUGUGAUUCAUGACUGGGGUGAAGUCGUAACAAGGUAACC